GCGAGGGUGGCGGAACUGGCAUACGCGCUAGCCUUAGGAGCUAGUGGGUUUUCCCUUGGGGGUUCAAAUCCCCCCCCUCGCACCA
rnacentral:tRNA from 3 species